AGUACGCACGCAAGUGUGAAACUCAAAGGAAUUGACGGGGGCCCGCACAAGCGGUGGAGUAUGUGGUUUAAUUCGAUGCAACGCGAAGAACCUUACCAGGGUUUGACAUCCUGCGAAUCUCUUGGAAACGAGAGAGUGCCUUCGGGAACGCAGUGACAGGUGGUGCAUGGCUGUCGUCAGCUCGUGUCGUGAGAUGUUGGGUUAAGUCCCGCAACGAGCGCAACCCACGUCUUUAGUUGCCAGCAUUUAGUUGGGCACUCUAGAGAGACCGCCGGUGAUAAACCGGAGGAAGGUGUGGAUGACGUCAAGUCAUCAUGCCCCUUACAUCCUGGGCUACACACGUACUACAAUGCUACGGACAAAGGGCAGCAAGUUCGCGAGGACAAGCAAAUCCCAUAAACCGUGGCUCAGUUCAGAUCGUAGGCUGCAACUCGCCUACGUGAAGGAGGAAUCGCUAGUAAUCGCAGGUCAGCAUACUGCGGUGAAUACGUUCCCGGGCCUUGUACACACCGCCCGUCACACCAUGGAAGCCGACUCUUCCCUAAGUCGUUACUCGAACCCAUUGGGACGAGGAUGCCGAAGGCAGGGUUGGUGACUAGGGUGAAGUCGUAACAAGGUAACC
rnacentral:rRNA from 1 species